CUAAUUGCAUGGGAGAACUACAUGGAGAUGGCCUCAGAGCAAUUCACAGGACUGUUCUGAAUUGUCAAGAUCUGCCUUGGAUCCAGAAGACCUGGAAGCUUUACCAAACUUAUACAUGAAAUUUCUCCACAGACCCCAGCUCAGCCCCACCGACUUGAGUGAAGAUGAUGACGAUGACGAUGAUGAUGAUAAGGGUAGUAAUUGGUUUCCCGUUAUCAAGCACCCACUGCAUGCCAGGUCAGCCUCCUUUCUGAAAAUCAAGCAGCUGACUGAGUCCAGGUCAAAGUCCCAGUGGGAGUGAGAGCCCAGAGCAAAGCGUGCACUUACAUUCCAUGAUGAUGAUGCUUGGUGAUGAAUGAACCAGCUUCUUGGCAGGAAGGAAGUUCCUACAGGUUGAGGUGAUCCUCCUAGCAAUGUGUUUAUUUGACAGCCUAAGGCAGCAAAAAUUCACAGAGAAGAGAAAAGAGAGAAGAAAAGGGCAUAAAAGAAAGGUUAUUUAAGAACAUCAGGAUCCUCCCUGGCCAGCCAAACACUCAUAAAACUAGAGCAGAAGAUCAUAUAAACACAUUGUGAAAAAAUAAGGUAAUCGGAGACUAAAAAGGUCCUAGAGAGGUAUUAAGGCCAGGAAACAUGUACUUUCUCUACCUUAGUACUUAGGCUCAUUAAUUUUUAUUUAAUCUACUUGGCACAUAAUAAAUACUCAAGAAAUAUUUGUGAAAUGAAUGAACUACAGGAAGAAAUCAUUGUUGACUAUGG
rnacentral:lncRNA from 10 species